rnacentral:misc_RNA from 1 species
CAGUGUUCCCUGCCCUCACGGGUAGAAACGCCCACCCUUGUGUAUUAUAUCUUUGUUGCUUUGGUAGGCCGCCCUCGGGCACCGGCUCUCGCUGGAUCGCGCCUGCCAGAGGAAACCCAAACUCUGAAUGUUAGUGUCGUCUGAGUACUAUCUAAUAGUUA